AACAAGGCCUCCUAAGUCUGAAAUUAUUUUCUUUGUGGUUCCCACCAGUUUUCUGUGAAGAAAAGAGAAGGUAAAGCUUGCUGAUUGGUUAAGUUGGAUCUACAGCUCUGUGUAAACCAGCCCGCAUGCAUCAUAUCCUGGUGAACCUGACCCUAGAGCAGUGAAACAUCUGUCGGGUGGGCCUCUUCCACUGCCCUGCUGAUGCAAGAGGUGGAGAGAAUCCUUCCUCCUACUUCUGCAGCAGAUUGUCUUCUCCUUUCUAAUCUGAAGUGUGACUGCAG
rnacentral:lncRNA from 1 species